UGGAGAGAGGUGAGAAGAGAGAAAUGAGAAAGCGGGAGACCGAGAAAGUGUUUUUGCUGGAUGUAGUUGUUGUGGUCUGAGGCUGCCUACAGCACACAGUAAUUGGGCUCGGACUACUGGGCCGACAAGCUGUGCGUAACUCCUGGCAUAUGCUGCUGUUGGCACUCAACCACAACCACCCACCACUUCCUUUGUGUGAGUUUUCCUGAACCCCUUUGACCCACAACCUCGAGUGUUUCACCAGCUACAUUGAAAA
ensembl:lncRNA